rnacentral:rRNA from 1 species
UGCCAGACUCCUACGGGAGGCAGCAGUGGGGAAUAUUGCACAAUGGGGGAAACCCUGAUGCAGCGACGCCGCGUGAAGGAUGAAGUCUUUCGGUAUGUAAACUUCUCUCAGCAGGGAAGAAAAUGACGGUACCUGACUAAGAAGCCCCGGCUAACUACGUGCCAGCAGCCGCGGUAAUACGUAGGGGGCAAGCGUUAUCCGGAUUUACUGGGUGUAAAGGGAGCGUAGACGGCAUGGCAAGUCUGAUGUGAAAACCCGGGGCUCAACCCCGGGACUGCAUUGGAAACUGUCAGGCUGGAGUGUCGGAGAGGCAAGUGGAAUUCCUAGUGUAGCGGUGAAAUGCGUAGAUAUUAGGAGGAACACCAGUGGCGAAGGCGGCUUGCUGGACGAUGACUGACGUUGAGGCUCGAAAGCGUGGGGAGCAAACAGGAUUAGAUACCCGGGUAUA